ensembl:lincRNA
CACACAGCACGCUAGUUUAAAAGGGCUUAUUACCUUCCCUCACUCAGGGGCUCUGAUUCAGCAGUUCUCAUUGAACAUUUAGGAACUCAACUGCUCUUGUCCUUCCAGAUGUCAGCUGCUUGUCCUCUAUCCAAUUCUAUGUGAAAAUACAACAGAAACUUAUGGCAGAGAAUUACUGUGUAGUUACCAAGUCCUAUUUUAUUUUCCCUCUAGAAACACAGACCACAUUUCCCUCUGGCCUUAAAAUCAGUUGAACUAUGGAACUGAUUUCUGGACAGGAGUGAUCAAUGUCACACCCAGGCCAGGCCCAUAAGAAGACCCAGGCAAUCCUCUUUGCCCUCAACCUUUUCUCAUUUAUCAGCCAGAUGUAGACCAUGCAGAAGACAAUCUGAGAACACUGGAGAUAAGGGAAUUACUCAGUGCAAGGAGCUUCUACCUCUAAGUGACUGCCUGGGGCAGGUGCCCUGGCUCCAACAUGCUCUGGUCCAAAAAAAUCCCUACACACAGAAGUUAUCAAUCUGUCAAGAUAGCUCUGCAAAAUAAUCUGUUAUUAUUCUAUGCCCACCACAGCUGCUGGGGCCCCCUUCUGCAAAACUGAAAAGUCUUCAUCUGUUAUCUGCCACUGAAACUUGAAAG